AUUGAACGCUGGCGGCAGGCUUAACACAUGCAAGUCGAGCGGAGCGAGGGUGCUUGCACCUUAGCUUAGCGGCGGACGGGUGAGUAAUGCUAGGAAUCUGCCUAUUAGUGGGGGACAACAUUCCGAAAGGAAUGCUAAUACCGCAUACGCCCUACGGGGGAAAGCAGGGGAUCUUCGGACCUUGCGCUAAUAGAUGAGCCUAAGUCGGAUUAGCUAGUUGGUGGGGUAAAGGCCUACCAAGGCGACGAUCUGUAGCGGGUCUGAGAGGAUGAUCCGCCACACUGGGACUGAGACACGGCGCAGACUCCUACGGGAGGCAGCAGUGGGGAAUAUUGGACAAUGGGCGGAAGCCUGAUCCAGCCAUGCCGCGUGUGUGAAGAAGGCCUUUUGGCUGUAAAGCACUUUAAGCGAGGAGGAGGCUACUUAGAUUAAUACUCUGGGAUAGUGGACGUUACUCGCAGAAUAAGCACCGGCUAACUCUGUGCCAGCCGCCGCAGUAACAC
rnacentral:rRNA from 1 species